AACGAACGCUGGCGGCAGGCUUAACACAUGCAAGUCGAACGCACCUUUCGGGGUGAGUGGCAGACGGGUGAGUAACGCGUGGGAAUCUACCCUUCUCUACGGGAUAGCUCCGGGAAACUGGAAUUAAUACCGUAUACGUCCUGAGGGAGAAAGAUUUAUCGGGGAAGGAUGAGCCCGCGUUGGAUUAGCUAGUUGGUGGUGUAAAGGCCUACCAAGGCGACGAUCCAUAGCUGGUCUAAGAGGAUGAUCAGCCACAUUGGGACUGGGACACGGCCCAAACUCCUACGCGAGGCAGCAGUGGGGAAUAUUGUACAAUGGGCGCAAGCCUGAUCCAGCCAUGCCGCGGGAGUGAUGAAGGCCCUAGGGUUGUAAAGCUCUUUCAGGGGGGACGAUAAUGACGGUACCCACAGAAGAAGCCCCGGCUAACUUCGUG
rnacentral:rRNA from 1 species